rnacentral:lncRNA from 1 species
AAAUUUCAGGAUAGGAUUUGAAAUGUAUAUAAAGAAAAUAUCUAAUUAAAAAAAAAAGACAGUUUGUUCAUGCCACUUAUAACCUAGUGUAUUUCAUUAGAUUUCUCCACCUUAUCUUACCCUUAUCUUUAAAUCUUCCAGUAGCCCUUACAAUUAUACUCAGCAAUCAUACAACAUUAAUGGUACUCUUCUGUUUGAAAGCUGUCGGUGGUUCACCAUGAUCACUUGGGGGAUGAUCUUAGCUCCUGACUCAUACAUUUCAUUCACUCAGAAAAUAUUGAUUAGCUUCUACCACAAGAGUAGUUGCAGGUAUCUUAUAUAUACAGAAGGAGAUAAAAAUUGCAUUCAGCUUCAACUACAAUUGAAAACAUGAAGUAGUAGGCUAGGUAAAGCAGUUGGCUCUUGCUUCCCUGUCUGGAGUUUUUCAUGUAAACUUUCUUCCAUAAGGAUCCUUUUCUUUCGUUAUUUUUCAUGUGCUUCUUUCCUAGGGAGGAAGUAUCCUCCGAGGUGGGCCAGAGGAAUCUGAACACGUCCUUGCACACUCUGUCUUUCUCUGAAUGGCCUGUUCCAUGUGUUUCCUUCCAAAAUUUUCCUGUCUUUCUUGUAGCUUGUGUCCCAGGCCAUGAGAGCCUAUUCAAAUAGUGUGGACCCAAACAUUUCUUGUAUUUCAAUAAAUAAGCACAGAACACAUUUUCUGAAAUGUUUAUUUCACUCUGCUUUUAAAAGAUCUCCAGCUGAGACUUCUGAUAACCUGGGGAGAGAGUUCAAAAGGCAGGAAUUUAGAUCAUCCCAUUUUUAAAUGUGGGUCAAAUAAAAUAUUCAUGAAAGAAAUGAUACUACUCUCAGCUUAUACUUAUAUUGUUAAUUUCAAAUGUAAUACUUGAGAUCACUAGAAUUCCACUUACUUCACAUAAAUUAUAUUCUCCAUAUACUUUUUGUUUUUAUAAUAAUUUCUGUGAUCUUCUCUAGAUUGAACAUUUUCUGAGUUUUCAACCUGUCAAUUGCAGGUUUGUGUCUCGACCUUUCUCUUCAUUGAUAACUUUAUAGCACAUCUGGGACAAUUUGUGAUUGGCAAACUGGGAAAAGCACAGCUAAGGAUGGCCUCAUUUCAUAGAUUAUGAUACUAAAGUCUUGUUCUGUAAAACAGUUAAUUGGCUUAGGAUCUAUUUAAAUUCUAACAGCUUUGUAAAAUGUGACAUUUUCAAAUGUGAUAUUGGAAAAGAAGCAAAGAAAUAAACAAAAACUACAUUGUAAAGGAACCUGGGUUUUGUGGUCUGUAGAAUAGAUAUGAUGCUAUUUAGCUCACUGAUAGGUUUGUUCUGUGCAUUUUAUACUAUGGGUAAUUAGAAAGCAUUUGACACGGUGUCUAUCAGUACCAGGUGCUCAAUGAUUUUUCGUUUCUUUUCAUUGGCACAUUUAAAAAGUUAGAAAGUCAUAGUGUCUGAUAAAACUGAGAAGUGGGAAAAUGGACAGAGCAAGGAGAGGUAACAACCUAAGCAAAACCAGUCAUGCAGAUUUUAAUGUUUCAUUCAUGCCACUGAGGUGACAACUGAGUGGCUUGGAGACAGAAUUGCUCAAUGUAAAACUAAGGGGG